AUUCUUCCAAAGUGCAUUCUUUGCUUUGUCGGCCUCCCGACGUUGUCUGAGCUGCAACCUCUCCGUUGAGACGGAUGACUCCCGCACUUUUCAGUAUAGGUCUAAUGUUCGGUGAAGUACCAGAAGCACGGUGGACGCAUUACAAAUGGCGGCGGGCGAGAUCGGCUACAUGGGUGAAUCGACGUUGUACAUUACAAGUGAGGCUAAUUGUAUUGUUUCAUUCUAGGUGACCGUGGGACUGUGUCGACCGUCGACUGCAAGAAAGUUAUUUGCUGUCUCAACGGUCACACAUAGCAAAAUUGCAACUGCUUCUUACAUCGAAGCGUGUCUGGUGGAACUUUUUGCUUGGACUAUUGUUCGUCGGCCAUUUCGUUUGAGGAAUUAUCGUGUUCGUCACCAAGGAUGACUUUGAUUGAGUUUUGCAGUGCCUGGUGCAUCGGAUGGGUUGUGUGUCCGUGCAAUGUGUACAUGUGUUGGAAUCAGUGAACUGUGUAUGGAUGCAAUUUAAAGGUACGUACACGUCAAUAAAAUUUAGUGUUUCAAGUUC